UACGGGGGGUGCGAGCGUUGUCCGGAAUCACUGGGCGUAAAGGGCGCGUAGGUGGCCUGAUAAGGGUGUGGUGAAAGUCCGGGGGCUUAACCCCGGAUCUGCCGUGCCGACUGUUAGGCUAGAGUGCUGUAGGGGCAGGCGGAAUUCCGGGUGUAGCGGUGGAAUGCGUAGAGAUCCGGAGGAAGACCGGUGGCGAAGGCGGCCUGCUGGGCAGAUACUGACACUGAAGCGCGAAAGCGUGGGGAGCAAACAGG
rnacentral:rRNA from 1 species